UACGUAGGGGGCAAGCGUUGUUCGGAAUUAUUGGGCGUAAAGGGCGCGUAGGCGGUUCGGUAAGUCAGGUGUGAAAUCUCCACGCUCAACGUGGAGGGGCCACCUGAUACUGCCGUGACUCGAGUCCGGUAGGGGAGUGUGGAAUUCCCGGUGUAGCGGUGAAAUGCGCAGAUAUCGGGAGGAACACCAGUGGCGAAGGCGGCACUCUGGGCCGGAACUGACGCUGAGGAGCGAAAGCGUGGGUAGCAAACAGG
rnacentral:rRNA from 1 species